UGCCUGUUCAUACUGGUUUAUUUAAUGGUGGAUGUAAAUGCAUACACUUUAUUCAAGGUGAACUUUAUUUGGGGAAGGAAUACCCAGGAAGGGAAGCUUAUUGGCUGAAGGCUCGGCUGUCUAGAUACCUCAUUAGCAUAGAGAAGAACUCCAGGUGUUUAUGCUACAUGGCCCAGUGCCCAUGGUCCUCCUUGGGGUGUCAUGGUUACAUGUUCCAGAGCAGGUAGAGGCAUGGAGGGAAUGGCUCCACUCCCAACCGUUUCUUAUGCCUGCCUGGUAACAAGGUUCCACGCGCCAUAAAAUUCUAAUGUUUGUGUCCAGUUCUGAACUUAUAUGUUGAAACCCAGUGACGGAUGUGGUAAUGUCCGGGAUGGGGCCCGGGGGUCAUAAGGUCACAGGGGAUUAAUAAUUCAUAAGAGAGGCCCCAAACAGCUGCCUUCCCCUCCUCCUUCUGCCACGUGAAAACACCCAAAAGCCUCUUGCCAUGACGUAGAUACAGUCUACCUUGAUCUUCAGCCUCCAGGGCUGAGAAAUAAGAGUCUGUUUAUGGCUCAGGGUUAGAGCAGCCUGGACGAGGCUUCUAAGUUUCUGAGAGUCUGUGGCACCUGGCGGAGCUGGUUGUGGGAGUGAAAAAAUGAUCACUCAAUCUUCAGUCCGUCUUCCGCAAAGGUCUGCCCUCAGUGUUCUACCUGGCUGAGAUGCUCCAAUGACGCCCGAGAUGAGAGCAGCCUGGCGUAGCUGCUACAACUGGGGGAUUCUCGGUUCUUUCUGGACACCGGUGUCUCAAGUUCCAAGGCCAGCUCUUCUGAGGCGAAGGUGGACCCCUCUCUGA
rnacentral:lncRNA from 1 species